rnacentral:rRNA from 1 species
AGAGUUUGAUCCUGGCUCAGGAUGAACGCUAGCGGCAGGCCUAAUACAUGCAAGUCGAACGGGCGGUAGCAAUACCGCUAGUGGCGCACGGGUGCGUAACGCGUAACCAACCUACCCACUACUGGGGGAUAGCCCGCCGAAAGGCGGAUUAAUACCGCAUAUACCAGCAGCCUGGCAUCAGGCAAUUGGGAAAGAUUUAUUGGUAGUGGAUGGGGUUGCGUAGCAUUAGCUAGAUGGCGGGGUAACGGCCCACCAUGGCGACGAUGCUUAGGGGACCUGAGAGGGUGAUCCCCCACACUGGCACUGAGAUACGGGCCAGACUCCUACGGGAGGCAGCAGUAGGGAAUAUUGGGCAAUGGGCGAGAGCCUGACCCAGCCAUGCCGCGUGCCGGAUGAAGGCCUUCUGGGUUGUAAACGGCUUUUCUCAGGGAAGAAAAAGACCAUGCGUGGUACACUGACGGUACCUGAGGAAUAAGCACCGGCUAACUCCGUG